rnacentral:rRNA from 1 species
UGCAAGUCGAGCGGAUGACGGGAGCUUGCUCCUUGAUUCAGCGGCGGACGGGUGAGUAAUGCCUAGGAAUCUGCCUGGUAGUGGGGGACAACGUUUCGAAAGGAACGCUAAUACCGCAUACGUCCUACGGGAGAAAGCAGGGGACCUUCGGGCCUUGCGCUAUCAGAUGAGCCUAGGUCGGAUUAGCUUGUUGGUGAGGUAAUGGCUCACCAAGGCGACGAUCCGUAACUGGUCUGAGAGGAUGAUCAGUCACACUGGAACUGAGACACGGUCCAGACUCCUACGGGAGGCAGCAGUGGGGAAUAUUGGACAAUGGGCGAAAGCCUGAUCCAGCCAUGCCGCGUGUGUGAAGAAGGUCUUCGGAUUGUAAAGCACUUUAAGUUGGGAGGAAGGGCAGUAAGCUAAUACCUUGCUGUUUUGACGUUACCGACAGAAUAAGCACCGGCUAACUCUGUGCCAGCAGCCGCGGUAAUACAGAGGGUGCAAGCGUUAAUCGGAAUUACUGGGCGUAAAGCGCGCGUAGGUGGUUUGUUAAGUUGGAUGUGAAAGCCCCGGGCUCAACCUGGGAACUGCAUCCAAAACUGGCAAGCUAGAGUACGGUAGAGGGUGGUGGAAUUUCCUGUGUAGCGGUGAAAUGCGUAGAUAUAGGAAGGAACACCAGUGGCGAAGGCGACCACCUGGACUGAUACUGACACUGAGGUGCGAAAGCGUGGGGAGCAAACAGGGAUUAGAUACCCUGGUAGUCCACGCCGUAAACGAUGUCAACUAGCCGUUGGGAAUCCUUGAGAUUUUAGUGGCGCAGCUAACGCAUUAAGUUGACCGCCUGGGGAGUACGGCCGCAAGGUUAAACUCAAAUGAAUUUGACGGGGGCCCGCACAAGCGGUGGGAGCAUGUGGUUUAAUUCGAA